rnacentral:rRNA from 1 species
UGUGGUGGCGAUAGCGCAGAAGAUACACCUGUUUCCAUGCCGAACACAGAAGUUAAGCUCUGUAGCGCCAAAAGUAGUUGGGGGAUCGCUCCCUGCGAGGAUAGGACGUCGCCAUGC